AACCUCCCGUCCUCCGCCUCCAGCGGCCUCCGGCAACCUCCCGUUCUAGAUGUUGAAUACUUUGUAUUUUUGGUUUAUCAUUUGUCUUGUGAACUAUCAGAUCAUUCAUGAUGGCACAUCUCUGAAUGGUUAUGAACAAGAAGCUACUACUUCAUCAGGGAUGACUAACUUGUUUUAUGUGGCAGGGCACAAGUGGUUGGAUGGCCACCGAUCCGAAGUUAUAGAGAGAACACAAUGGUCGCAAACCCGACCAAGAAAAAGGAGGAUGAUGAAGUGAAACAAGGGGUGGAAUGCCUCUAUGUCAAGGUCAGCAUGGAUGGAGCUCCAUAUCUCAGAAAAGUUGACCUCAAAAUGUAUUCCAACUAUAAGGAACUCUCACUGGCUCUUGAGAAGAUGUUUAUUUGCUUUACUAUUGCAUGUUUACUGAUUCAUGCAGAAGGUUGAGGAUCAUGAAAGGUUCAGAUGCAAUUGGUAUUGCUUGUGGUUGACCAGAUCUUGCGCCUGAUAGAAUUCGCAACAGUUC